AUGUCUCGCACUGGCUGCACUUCCUUGCCAUCCCACCCAAAUAACCAUCAUGGUUGCUCAGCCAAUACACCAUGCCAGCUGCUAUCCAGGGUGCAAAGAACAUAGCAUGCUCCUUGCCUUCAGGGACCUUUGCCUGAGAAGCUAAGGCCCCAUAAUACCUCUGAGCACUGACUGUCCCCUGACAGUCUGGGCGUGAAAUCUCUGCCCUGAGAAGAAAAGACUGGCAGGCCCCAUGGCCUCAGGCCUCCACCCAACAGGAAGAGUCUCCUGGUAGAGUCAUGCCCGAAUUCUGUCAGUCUAAGCCUGAGCCCUUCCUACUAGGAACCGUAGGAGUUACGGGAUACACUUUCCUGUG